rnacentral:rRNA from 1 species
GGUAAUACAGAGGGUGCAAGCGUUAAUCGGAAUUACUGGGCGUAAAGCGCGCGUAGGUGGUUUGUUAAGUUGGAUGUGAAAUCCCCGGGCUCAACCUGGGAACUGCAUUCAAAACUGACUGACUAGAGUAUGGUAGAGGGUGGUGGAAUUUCCUGUGUAGCGGUGAAAUGCGUAGAUAUAGGAAGGAACACCAGUGGCGAAGGCGACCACCUGGACUGAUACUGACACUGAGGUGCGAAAGCGUGGGGAGCAAACAGGAUUAGAUAC